rnacentral:rRNA from 1 species
GAUGAACGCUGGCGGCGUGCCUAAUACAUGCAAGUCGAGCGAACAGAUGAGGAGCUUGCUCCUCUGACGUUAGCGGCGGACGGGUGAGUAACACGUGGAUAACCUACCUAUAAGACUGGGAUAACUUCGGGAAACCGGAGCUAAUACCGGAUAAUAUAUUGAACCGCAUGGUUCAAUAGUGAAAGACGGUUUUGCUGUCACUUAUAGAUGGAUCCGCGCCGCAUUAGCUAGUUGGUAAGGUAACGGCUUACCAAGGCGACGAUGCGUAGCCGACCUGAGAGGGUGAUCGGCCACACUGGAACUGAGACACGGUCCAGACUCCUACGGGAGGCAGCAGUAGGGAAUCUUCCGCAAUGGGCGAAAGCUUGACGGAGCAACGCCGCGUGAGUGAUGAAGGUCUUCGGAUCGUAAAACUCUGUUAUUAGGGAAGAACAAAUGUGUAAGUAACUAUGCACGUCUUGACGGUACUAAUCAGAAAGCCACGGCUAACUACGUG